rnacentral:rRNA from 1 species
CCUACGGGUGGCAGCAGUGGGGAAUAUUGCGCAAUGGGCGAAAGCCUGACGCAGCGACGCCGCGUGAGGGAUGAAGGUCUUCGGAUCGUACACCUCUGUCAGCAGGGAAGAACGGUCACUGUGCUAAUCAGCAGUGAAUUGACGGUACCUGCAAAGCAAGCACCGGCUAACUCCGUGCCAGCAGCCGCGGUAAUACGGAGGGUGCGAGCGUUAAUCGGAAUUACUGGGCGUAAAGCGCUCGUAGGCGGUAUGUCAAGUCAAGGGUGAAAUCCCCGCGCUCAACGUGGGAACUGCCUUUGAAACGGGGAAACUGGAGUGUGUGAGAGGAUAGUGGAAUUCCAGGUGUAGGAGUGAAAUCCGUAGAUAUCAGGAGGAACAUCAGAGGCGAAGGCGACUAUCUGGCACAUAACUGACGCUGAGGAGCGAAAGCGUGGGUAGCAAACAGGAUUAGAUACCCCAGUAGUC